GACGAACGCUGGCGGCGUGCUUAACACAUGCAAGUCGAACGGAAAGGCCCUGCUUUUGUGGGGUGCUCGAGCGGCGAACGGGUGAGUAACACGUGAGUAACCUGCCCUUGACUUUGGGAUAACUUCAGGAAACUGGGGCUAAUACCGGAUAGGAGCUCCUGCUGCAUGGUGGGGGUUGGAAAGUUUCGGCGGUUGGGGAUGGACUCGCGGCUUAUCAGCUUGUUGGUGGGGUAGUGGCUUACCAAGGCUUUGACGGGUAGCCGGCCUGAGAGGGUGACCGGCCACAUUGGGACUGAGAUACGGCCCAGACUCCUACGGGAGGCAGCAGUGGAGAAUAUUGCACAAUGGGCGGAAGCCUGAUGCAGCAACGCCGCGUGCGGGAUGACGGCCUUCGGGUUGUAAACCGCUUUCGCAUGUGACGAAGCGUGAGUGACGGUAAUGGGUAAAGAAGCACCGGCUAACUACGUG
rnacentral:rRNA from 1 species